rnacentral:rRNA from 1 species
AAUCAACGCUGGCGGCGUGCCUCAGACAUGCAAGUCGAACGAUUAAGACUUCCUUCGGGAAGUGUAUAAAGUGGCGCACGGGUGAGUAACACGUAAGUAAUCUACCUUCGAGUGGGGAAUAACAUCGGGAAACCGAUGCUAAUACCGCAUAAUGCAGCGGCAUCGCAAGAUGACAGUUGUUAAAGGAGCAAUUCGCUUGAAGAGGAGCUUGCGGCAGAUUAGCUAGUUGGUAAGGUAAUGGCUUACAAAGGCUACGAUCUGUAUCCGGUCUAAGAGGACGGGCGGACACACUGACCCUGAAUAACGGGUCAGACUCCUACGGGAGGCAGCAGUCGGGAAUGUUGGGCAAUGGGCGAAAGCCUGACCCAGCAACGCCGCGUGAAGGAUGAAGUAUUUCGGUAUGUAAACUUCGAAAGAAUGGGAAGAAUAAAUGACGGUACCAUUUAUAAGCUCCGGCUAACUACGUGCCAGCAGCCGCCGUAAGAC